rnacentral:rRNA from 1 species
UACGGAGGAUGCGAGCGUUAUCCGGAUUUAUUGGGUUUAAAGGGUGCGUAGGCGGACUGUCAAGUCGGCGGUAAAAUUGAGAGGCUCAACCUCUUCCCGCCGUUGAAACUGGUGGUCUUGAGUGGAUGAGAAGUACGCGGAAUGCGUGGUGUAGCGGUGAAAUGCAUAGAUAUCACGCAGAACUCCGAUUGCGAAGGCAGCGUACCGGCAUCCAACUGACGCCGAGGCACGAAAGCGUGGGGAUCAAACAGG